UCCUUCGGGAGCACCGGCGGACUGCUCAGUAACACGUGGACAACCUACCCUCGGGUGGGGGAUAACCUCGGGAAACUGAGGCUAAUACCCCAUAGGCCUCGGAUACUGGAAGGUUCCGAGACCGAAAGCUCCGGCGCCCGAGGAUGGGUCUGCGGCCUAUCAGGUAGUUGGUGGUGUAAAGGACCACCAAGCCUACGACGGGUACGGGCCCUGAGAGGGGGAGCCCGGAGAUGGACUCUGAGACACGAGUCCAGGCCCUACGGGGCGCAGCAGGCGCGAAACCUUCGCAAUGCGCGAAAGCGCGACGAGGGGAGCCCGAGUGCCCUUCCUUUCGGGAGGGCUUUUCUGGAGCCUAAAAAGCUCCAGGGAUAAGGGCUGGGCAAGACGGGUGCCAGCCGCCGCGGUAAUACCCGCAGCUCGAGUGGUGGCCACUAUUAUUGAGCCUAAAGCGUCCGUAGCCGGACCCGUAAAUCCCUGGGUAAAUCCUGGCGCUCAACGUCAGGAAUUCCGGGGAGACUGCGGGUCUUGAGACCGGGAGAGGCCGGANGUACU
rnacentral:rRNA from 1 species